rnacentral:rRNA from 1 species
AUUGAACGCUGGCGGCAUGCCUUACACAUGCAAGUCGAACGGCAGCACGGGAGCAAUCCUGGUGGCGAGUGGCGAACGGGUGAGUAAAGUAUCGGAACGUGCCUAGUCGUGGGGGAUAACGUAGCGAAAGCUACGCUAAUACCGCAUACGAUCUAUGGAUGAAAGCGGGGGAUCGCAAGACCUCGCGCGAUUGGAGCGGCCGAUAUCAGAUUAGGUAGUUGGUGGGGUAAAGGCCCACCAAGCCGACGAUCUGUAGCUGGUCUGAGAGGACGACCAGUCACGCUGGGACUGAGACACGGCCCAGAAUCCUACGGGAGGCAGCAGUGGGGAAUUUUGGACAAUGGGCGCAAGCCUGAUCUAGCAAUGCCGCGUGCAGGAUGAAGGCCUUCGGGUUGUAAACUGCUUUUGUACGGAGCGAAAAGGCUCGCACUAAUACUGUGGGCUCAUGACGGUACCGUAAGAAUAAGCACCGGCUAACUACGUGCCAGCAGCCGCCGUAA